UACGAAGGGGGCUAGCGUUGCUCGGAAUCACUGGGCGUAAAGCGCACGUAGGCGGGUCGUUAAGUCGGGGGUGAAAUCCUGGAGCUCAACUCCAGAACUGCCUUCGAUACUGGCGACCUUGAGUCCGGGAGAGGUGAGUGGAACUCCGAGUGUAGAGGUGAAAUUCGUAGAUAUUCGGAAGAACACCAGUGGCGAAGGCGGCUCACUGGCCCGGUACUGACGCUGAGGCGCGAAAGCUAGGGGAGCAAACAGGG
rnacentral:rRNA from 1 species